UCCUCGGUAGCUCAGUGGUAGAGCAAGCGGCUGUUAACCGCUUGGUCGCUGGUUCGAAUCCGGCCCGGGGAG
rfam:Endosymbiont of Acanthamoeba sp. TWC8 chromosome, complete genome.